rnacentral:rRNA from 1 species
GACGAACGCUGGCGGCGUGCCUAAUACAUGCAAGUCGAACGCAGUGGGGACGGGUGAGUAACAUGUGGGUAACCUCCCCUCAGAGGGGAUAACACUUGGAAACUGGUGCUAAACCGAUACUGAUGGAUGGACCCGCGGUGCAUUAGCUAGUUGGGGAGGUACCGGGGCACCAAGGCCACGAUGCAUAGCCGAGCUGAGGGGGUGAUCGACCAAACUGGGAAUGCGGCACGGCCCAAACUCCUGCGGGAGGCAGCAGGAGGGAAUCGUCGGCAAUAGAGGAAAGUCUGACCGGGCAACGCCGCGUGAGUGAAGGAGGUUUUCGGAUCGUAAAACUCUGUUGUUAGAGAAGCGGUAUCUAACCGGAGAGCCACGGGUAACUACGUGCCAGCCGGCGCGGUAAUAC